rnacentral:rRNA from 1 species
UACGUAGGGGGCUAGCGUUGUCCGGAAUCAUUGGGCGUAAAGAGCGUGUAGGCGGCCCGGUAAGUCCGCUGUGAAAGUCAAAGGCUCAACCUUUGAAUGUCAGUGGAUACUGCCGGGCUAGAGUCCGGAAGAGGCGAGUGGAACUCCUGGUGUAGCGGUGGAAUGCGCAGAUAUCAGGAAGAACACCGACGGCGAAGGCAGCUCGCUGGGACGGUACUGACGCUGAGACGCGAAAGCGUGGGGAGCGAACAGG